rnacentral:rRNA from 1 species
UCCGUAGGUGAACCUGCGGAAGGAUCAUUACUGAUUUGCUUAAUUGCACCACAUGUGUUUUUCUUUGAAACAAACUUGCUUUGGCGGUGGGCCCAGCCUGCCGCCAGAGGUCUAAACUUACAACCAAUUUUUUAUCAACUUGUCACACCAGAUUAUUACUAAUAGUCAAAACUUUCAACAACGGAUCUCUUGGUUCUCGCAUCGAUGAAGAACGCAGCGAAAUGCGAUACGUAAUAUGAAUUGCAGAUAUUCGUGAAUCAUCGAAUCUUUGAACGCACAUUGCGCCCUCUGGUAUUCCGGAGGGCAUGCCUGUUUGAGCGUCGUUUCUCCCUCAAACCGCUGGGUUUGGUGUUGAGCAAUACGACUUGGGUUUGCUUGAAAGACGGUAGUGGUAAGGCGGGAUCGCUUUGACAAUGGCUUAGGUCUAACCAAAAACAUUGCUUGCGGCGGUAACGUCCACCACGUAUAUCUUCAAACUUUGACCUCAAAUCAGGUAGGAACUACCCGCUGAACUUAAGCAUAUCAAUAAGCGGAGGAAAAG